rnacentral:RNase_P_RNA from 1 species
UGAGUCGGCCAGACGGCCGCGUCAGGAGCCAUGACCGCGAGGUCGUGACCUGCCGAGGAAAGUCCGGGCUCCACAGGGCACGGUGGUGGCUAGCAGCCACCCGGGGCGACCCGCGGGACAGUGCCACAGAGAGAAGACAGCCUCAGGUCCGCCUGAGGUGAUGGUGAAAGGGUGGUGUAAGAGACCACCAGCAGCCCUGGUGACAGGGCUGGCUCGGUAAACCCCACCGGGAGCAAGCCCGAGCAGUAUGCGUUCGACGGCGGCCCGCCGGAGCAUACGGGUAGGGCGCUGGAGGUGGCCAGCAAUGGUCACCCGAGAU